rnacentral:lncRNA from 1 species
CGGCAUCACAGCGGUGGCAAAUACAGCAACAGAAAUUUUCUCAGGGAACCUCUCCAUGGCAAUAGAUAUGGAGGCCCCCCCCAUGCUAUGGCCCACCAAGAUAAACCUAUCCUCUGGUGGGAGAGACUCCAUGAAUUCAAUCAAAGGCUCAACAUAGUCCGCGAAGCAGUGGACUUGAUUUAUCUGUUUUGGGUUGUCUCCGGAUGCUGCUAGGUCUAGAGCUGUAACAUGGUGACCUGCAGAGAUGAGCAGAGCUGACAGCUUGUACCAACACCAUGCCCCAUGGCCAGCUCCAUGAACCAGCACAAAAUGCUUCUUUUGGGCUUCUGGGUUUGGAGAUCGGGAACACAUUCUUAGUGAGCAGCAAAGAUAGACUAAAAAUUCUAAGGUUUUUGGCCUCUUUUCUUGGCCUAAUAUAUAUCAUGCAUAUGCUUAAUCUAGAUAAAAAUUCUAAGGUUGUUGGCAAUCUGAGAAGUCAGUGAAUAAUUGUCAAAAUAUAUCUAGAGGUAUGCGCGUGCUUGUGCAGUAGUAGUUAUUCCUCCCUGAGUGGCAAAGUCAUAAUUCUCCAAGUUCCAUUUUGAAUCUUCUCUGAAAACAAAAGGACAAAUUCUUUGAUUUUGAUUGAUUUUAUCUUUCACAAAAGUUUAGACAGUUAUGAAAGAGCUUGCUCAAGAUAAACGCUAUCCAUACAAAAUGCGGUGAUGAGGCUGCCAGAUUGUCCACACCCAUACUAUGCAUGCAUGUGUCACUCUUUUUGUGUAUAAUCUUUUCAGCAUAACAGAGGAAAUGGACAAGAUAGCAGCAACAAAGAAUACUUUGACUUUUCAGCAUUUAAAUUGCAGCUAGGCUUUUCUUGCAUUUGGUUUAUACAUUUGAGAGUAUAUAAAGUUCUAUACAAGAUGUCUCUAGAAUUGUAUCAAAGAAUACAAGAAAGGAAUAUGCUUAGGUUCAUCCAUAUCAUUUGAGUCCUUUGCAUCAUGAACUGACUUUUUGUAAGGUUUUGGGUGCCUUGGGUGUCUUGAGAGGUUUGAGUGUGGUGUGAUCAAGUAAUCUUCACAAUAUACGUGUCAUCAUCUAAACUGUUCAUUUUUUAAAUCACAAUUUAAAGAUCAUAUGUGCAAAAACUCAAUCAAAUUGGAGAUCGUUUUGUUAUUUGAUGAGUUGACAACUUAUACCAACACCAUGCUCCAUCUCCAUGGCUAGCUCCAUGAACUAGCACAAAAUGCUUCUUAAAGGCAUCUAGGGUUGGAGAUGAGGUGCACAUUCUUUUCAAGCAAACAAAUAAAACGAAAUACUCAAAAUGCUCAGCUGAUCACAUAUGCUCCAAUCUUUGCUUGGCAUUUGGUAUUGUCUUAGUUUUAUUGUCAUAUGUUGGAGUGUGUAUCUCUUGCGUCCACCUUAUUAUUGUUUUAAACGCCUAAAGCCGCCUAGGAGUGGCAAGCCCGCCUUGAGUUUGUCUUAAUCCCACGUCAGGGAAUUUAUUUUUCUCUUUUUAAGAAUGAUAGGAAUUACGACCUUAAUUAAUUUUGGAAAAUUCAAGAACAUCCAUGCAAUUCUGUAUAAUUUAAUAUUACUAAGUAAGUGCCCUAAGGGUAUUUAAGUUGUUGAGGUAGCAAAUUUUUUUUAGUACAGGCGAUUGUCUAAACUACAUGGAAUGUGGUGUUUUUUACAUACACACAACUAAGAUGUCAUAGGGAGUUCAAACUUGAGACCUCUACUUGUAAGGCAAAUACAACCCUCGAAUAACAAAAAGAUGUUGACAUAUGUUGUCUGGAAGACUACCAUUCAAGCUGUUUCCUGAUAGAGCCAGAUUUUUCAAAGAAGACAUGUUGAAGACAACAUUAGUAACUGCAGCUCUAUACUGCUGAUCUCGUUUGGAAUUUCUGAAAAUUCAACACAUACGUAUUAUACUCAUAGCAAACAGGCCCAACAUAAUGCACAGGAAAAACAAAUUAAUGUAUCUCACACCUAUUUGGCUAUAAAUAAAUGGAGGAUUAUCUUUAUAUGUUUUGGUGCAAUGUUCGAAAUUAUUAUAACGAAACCUUAAAAGUAUUAAGAUAUGAAAUCAUUGUAAAUAUAUUCUUUCCUAGCUUGUAUAUUCGUUGGCUGCAAGUUAGGAUUCCAGGUUAAUUACUAAAUUGUAGGAUCAAAACGUAGGGUGCUCUAGGCACUGCUAUAUAAAUCCUUGUAUAUAUUCAACGUUGUGAAUAUGCAAAAUAUAUCAAAUACCAUUUUUUUACAAAAACAUCCUGCAGUUGCAUGUCAGUGGGGUGAUAUGAGAUUUGAGAGCAAGAAGAGCAGACUGGUCUGUGCUGAUGUUGGUUUGUGCUUCUGUCAUGGUUAAGUUUGCCAUAUAUAUAUAGAAUAAAAGUGUACAAGAGACAGCAAGAGGAAACGAGUUCUGUCCAUUUUGUGCAUGUGGUUGGAGAUGUAUGCAAACGUGGAAUUGUUGACAGUGCUUUCUGGAAAGCUAGAAGGGAAAAGCAAUGAGGAAUCGAUCACGACUUCAACAAUUAAGAAAAAUGAGGGAAAAAGAAAAGAAGAAAACAAUCGAUCCUUGCCAAUUUUAAUUUUAAUCUUAAAUUUUUUUUUUUUUUUUAGUCAAAUAAAGUGCGAACAUAGUUGAUAAAUUACAUAGUUGUAACAUUUGUGUUUUUUUUUUUCUUGUCGAAGACAUUUUGUAGAAUAUUACUAAUUUUUGACAAAGACUAUAUUUGAUGAAGUUAACAACCUAUUUCUUAUCUUUAGAAUGAUCACUGGUCAAUAAUUCUUAAUUAAAUUAAUAUGGUAGUAACUUGUAAGCUUCUUAAAUAAUUUUCCAUACAUUAAUCUAAAAAAUGACUUCACAAGUAAGUAAUCAUUAUAUGACUUCUUCCUUGGUGAUUUCGAUUUCUCUCAUUUCAGAAUAUUAUACACCACAAAUCCAAAGAGUAGACUAUUUAGACAAAGAAAUGUGAUCAGCGAGCUCUCUAACGCCAAAUGACAAAUUUCUGGUGGACUAACCAACCUAUAUGAAUUUCCUCAUUCUGUACAUGUAAAAGCAGAGGAACAAAAUUAACACUACUCAACUCCACUGUCCUUCAAAAAUUUGAUCUUGAUUCUAUUGAGUGUGACCACAACUUCUUGCAUACUCAUCUUUUCUUCGGGUGAUUCUGCAGAACAAGCAAGACCUAAUCUCAUAAUGGACGAUAAACAAUCCCUCUUGGCUACAAAAUGAUCUUCCUCUGCCCCAAGUAAAUAUGCAUCCACAACUUCAACGAUUGCGUCUGCUAGUAGUGAAUUUGAAACCCAUUGCUUUAAAUUCAUUUCCCCAACAAACAUCUCACCUGUUGGCUUCCUUUUUGUGAAUGUUUCCAUCAAUACAAUUCCAAAACUGUACACAUCCCCUCUAGUUGAAACAAUUCCUUCCAUUUCGUACUCUGCUAUAUAUAUGAUGAGAAAAAUAUGAUUUAAGUUCAUUGUUCAUUGCUUGCUUCUUAGAAAAAUAAAAAAAAGACAGCAUAUAUUGUAUUGGAAAAUAAAUUAGAAACAUCACCUGGAGCCAUGUACCCAACUGUGGCUAGGGUCAUGGUUUGGGUCAUAGAAUCUCCUCCACCCAAGAGUUUUGCAAUUCCAAAAUCAGCAACAUGUGCAACCUUAGCAUCAUCUAGUAGUAUAUUGCUCGGCUUCAAGUCACAGUGGACAAUAAGUAUUGCACAACCAUGAUGAAGGUAUUCCAAUGCCGCCGCAACAUCUGACAAAUUUAAAUUCAUUUCCCCUACAAACAUCUCAUAUGUUGGCUUCCUUCUUGUGAAUGUUUCCAUCACUACAAUUCCAAAACUGUACACAUACCCUCUUGUUGAAACCAUUCCUUCCAAUCCAUACUCUGCAUUAUGAAAAAUCGGCCUGGGCUGCCUAUGCCGGUCUGGGCGGUGCUAGGCGGGUCUGGGUGCCAGGGUGGGUCUGGUUCUUUUCUUUUGUUCUUUAAGCCUACUGUCUAGCGAUUUUUCAACCUUAUGCACUGCAUUCCAUCAUAACGUCUAAUAUUUGCAAAGCUUUUAUCACUUGAAUGAUCAAGAUAGGAUCAAAAUCCAUCUAUAAUUGGUACUUAGGUAAGGAGGGUAAAGUAAAACCCUCAAUGAAUAGAAAUAGACACACGGAAGACAAAUACCAAGGAUUCCAAACCAAUAUGAGACUUAGAUAAACUUUAGCUACAAAGCUUAUGAAUGCAGACUAUUCAAACCAAGCACAUUCAUACGCAAUACUCAUACCCCUGCAAAAGUAGAAGAACACUACGUGACAAGUUGAUAUAAAAAAUAAAAUAAUUCCGCAUUUUUUGAACGGUUCACCAUUGAAUUGCUUUUGGGCAUUUGAAGUUGAUCUGCACUUUGGACGCACAUGAAAAUCAUUAUAUAUUGGCCAUAGACCAUGGAUGAUAAAUUUCUGGGCAACGGGCUCAUAGCAAUCACUUCCAGCAAGGUCUUUCAUUAGCAUGCAGUAUGUAUUAGGCCAAGUUAUAAAUAAGGAGUAAAAUUCGAAAUCAUCGUAGUCGCUGUAUUUGCCAGCAGCAGCGGCAGCUGCCAUGGAGAGCACGAUUAAACAAAGGAAAAUGAUGUGCGUCGUUUUGGGCUGGGUUAGGGGAGCAAGAAUCACCAUUAAACUUUCAAUGCUUUGCACCCAUCGCACUAGUUGUUUCAUGAAGAGCAUCAAACUAUCCAUCAUGAAAAAGAGACAUAAUAAAUUAAAGGGAACAAUAGAGACUUGAAUAAUGGCCUAAUAAUAAUCAAUAAUGCUCUAAACUACUUUUAUCGAUAAAAGAAAAUCGGGGGAAGAAAUUUUUUUUAGCUAAAAUAAGGCGUUAAAACGCCUGUUUACAGGGGGUUGUGUAUGAUCAUAGUUCCUCAUGCCAAUAAGGGGUAUUAGACCCUACCCGCAGGGAGUAGCUCUCGUGAAUUCUUAACGGCGUAAUAACCUCCGGCCAAUGCCGUUUAUAUAAAGCGUAUAGCCGCUCGGCUAUACAAUUUAUUUAUUAAAAAAAAACCCAAGUACAGCCGCUCGGCGAUACGAUUUUGGAAAAAAAAAAAAAAAAAUACCCAAGUAUAGCCGAGCGGCUAUACUAUUUAUAAAUAAAAAAAGGUCCACGUGUGUAAACAAGUACAGCCGCGUGGCUAUACUAUUUUUUAAAAAUACCCGAGUAAAGCCGUGCGGCUGUACUAUUUAUAAUUUUAAAAAAAUUACCCGCCUAUAGUGCCCACGUGCGAAAACAGGUAUAACCGAGCGGCUAUACUAAUGUUUUAAAACAAAUACCCGAGUAUAGCCGACCGGCUAUACUAUUUUGAAAUUUUACAGUUUAAACAUAUAAAACCAAAACCGCUACAACAAAAACCUUCCUACCAAGGGCAGUCUGCUUCGGCUUGUUGUGUGACUAAAGUUCUGACUUACAAGGAGCAACAUAAUACACACAUAAAAACCAAAGAAAGGCAUAUUCUUAGAGCUUUAACGUACUCAUCACCACACCACCUGGCAUCAGACUUUAGUGCUCAUACUGCUUGGGCUAAUCAGCUACAGUAGGAGUUUUACCAGCUUCAUCUGCAUCUCCAGCAUCACAUUUCUACAAUCACAGAGGCAAGUUAUAAAAGUAUUAUUACAACAUAGAACUUGGAAAGCAAAUUUGGUAUUACCUCUGCCUUUAUUGUAGGUGGCAUCGCAGGAAGAGAAAUUUUGUGACAUACAUUUUGUGUCCUUUCACAGCCCAAAAACAUAUCUUCAAUCCUCAUGUUACAGUCCCGAAACAUUCCAUAUUUUCCGAAGCAGAUUCAGGCUCCCCACAACAUUCCCUUAUAAAACCUAAUAUUUGCGAAGCUUUUCGUCUUCUUCCCUAUCACUUGAAUGAUCACGAUAGGAUCAAAAUCCAUCCCAAUUGAAAUUCCAGCAUCCUCAAGCAUCUUUGUCACAUUAACGUCUUCAUAAAACUUAAAUGCUAAGUUGAAAUAGUGUUCAGCAAGCAGAUCAGUGUAUUUAUUUACCAUGCUCUUUCCACUGUCUUCCCCAAAAAAAUUUAUUCUCAGUCAAAUCCUUCGCUAUUGGAUUUGGCCAGUACUCUUUCAUCUUGACAACACAAGUUGUCUCCUGCAAAAAUUAAGACGGGUGUAAAAUUGAAAAAAUAAAAUGAUGAAAGAAAAAAAAAACGAAAAAUAGUGCUCAAGGCUAUGGAUGUUCACGAAGUAUAUAAUACCGCAAUUUUGAACUGUUCGCCAUCAAACUCUCUUUGGGCAUUUGAAGCUGAUCCGCACUUUGGACGCGCAUUAAAAUUAUUAUAUAUUGGCCAUAGACCACUGAUGAUAAAUUUCUGUGCGUCGGGCUCAUAGCAAUUAUGUCUAGCAUGGUCUUUCAUUCGCAUGCAGUAGGUAUCAGGCCAAGUCAUCAAUAAGGUGUAAAAUUCGAAAUCAUAGUAGUUGCCGCAGUUGCCAGCAGCAGUGGCGGCUGCCAUGGAGAGCACGAUUAAACAAAGGAAAAUGAUGUGCGUCAUACUUGGGCUUGGUUAGGGGACAAGAAUCACCAUUAAAUAUUUUACACCCAUUGUAUUAGUUGUUUCAUGAAGAGCAUCAACUAUCCAUCAUGAAAAAAGGACAUAAUAAAUAUAAGAGUUCAAGGAUAUAUAAUCAAUUUCUUAUAUUCAGAGACUGGCAAAUAAAUUGAUUACCAAGUCGCUCCUCUUGGAAACCAUGAGAGGGGAUAGAGUUAAUUAAUUUCUUACACAAAAACUACAAAACAAAAGUGUUCGGGGUUAGAGAAACUCAUUAAGAAAGACCUCGUCAGAAUUCGGUGGUUACAAAUUACAAUUUUGAACUGUUCGCCACUGAACUGGCUUUGGGCAUUUCAAUAAGGUGUAAAAUUUGAAAUCAUUUUAGUCGCCGUAUUUGCCAACAGUGGCGGUGCCGGCUGACAUGGAGAGCACAAUUAACAAAGGAAACUUAUGUGCACCACACUUGGGGUGGGUUAGGAGCAUUAAACUUCCAAAUGCUUUGCACACAUCAUACUAGUUGUUUCUCGGAGAGCAUCAACUAUAUCCAUCAUGAAAGAGAACGAUCACAUAAUAAACAUACGAACAUCUCCAAAUAAUAAUCUUUGGUGAUUUGGAAACCACGAGAGGGGAUUGAAUCAAAAUAAUUAAUUCACGUUUGAACAUCUCCAAAUAAUAACAUUGUAGCAAGAACUCGGUGGCAAAGAUUGUAGCAUUCAAGUUCUCUGAAUAAAAACCAAAAACAAAAAUAAUACCGCAAUCUUGAACUGUUCGCCAAUGAAAUCCCUUUGAGCUGGUGAAACUGAUCUGCACUGUGGAUGCACAUUAACAUCAAGAUUAAGAAGAUGCUGGCAUAUACUGUCUGGAAGACCACCACUCAUGUUGUUUCCACGUAGAGCCAAAGUAGUCAAGGAAGACAUGUUGAAAACAGCCAGAGGAAUAGGCCCUUUCAACAUCUCCAGCUUGUCCAAAUUCCCGAUCUUGUUUGCAAGUUCUGAAAAAUCGACAAUAUAUAUAUAUAUAUAUAUAUAUGUGUGUGUGUGUUAAUUAAACUUAUUAUUUAUGCAUAUAUAAUUAAGAGCAUGGACUGCAACAAAAUGGCGAGGCUCGCAUGACAAAAAAAAUAGGCGAGGCGAAUCAAAUAUAUAUAAUUGGAUCACAUACAAACGCACGGAAGCUCACAUACACAAAUAUACUUAGGCAAUGCAACAAAUAUACCAUUGAAAUGGUUGGAGGCGAGGAAUAUCUCCUUCAGCAUUGUUAAGUUCCAUAUUUCUUUGGGUACCCUACCUGUUAAAUUUGGAUUUCAAGUUAAAAUCCAACUCAAUUUACUUUAUCAAUUGAGUUCCAAAUUUGGGGCAUAUCGGGGUGGAGGAGGCACGUCAGAGUGGGAGAGAGAGACACACAGAGAGACGGAGAGAGACAUAGACAGAGAGAGGGGCGAUCGGUUUUGUAGAAAACCGAUCGGUUUUGUCAAAACUUCAAACCGUUCGUUCUCCUUCAAUUCUUCUCCAAAUUUAUCGAGUAAGGCACCCGGGCACCAGUUGACCCGCAGGAGGGACCUUCAAGAGGUCCAGCGAGCUCAGACUAUCAGUGAGUGGACUCUUUGUUUUAAUAAAUGAAUUUAAGUAGUUUAGUUCCAGUUAUAAGCUGUUUUAUUCUGUUAAAUAUUUUAUGUUGCAUGCUGCCAAGUGAAAUCUCCUUGAAAGAAUAGAGAAAAAGAUAUUCUCGUUAAUUAUCAGAUAAAUAGCAGCAGAAUUUUAAAAAUUACAGAAAGUUAAUUAUUCAACAGUUUUGCCUUAGAAACUUUAUAUUUUCUUAAACCACCUUGUACGCAGAUAUGAAAUGUUGCCUUCGGAUUAUAUUUGUUGCUUUCGGUUUAGUCAGCAUGCUUGACAGUUGCCCCACGAGUGCCUUGGUACUCGAACUCGUGUGGAGCGAGUAAUACGGAUAAAGGUGGACUACGGUCCCCAGAAUCCUGCGAGUUGCUCGGACUGACUUCAUGUCACUUAGACCUGCGAGUAUGUGUCACCCCAUGGUGAUGCAAGGAAUUGACGGAUAUAAGGAAUUGACGAAAAUAAGGGUACACCUAGGUGAUAGUUUUAAACUGUUUUCAAAUGUAUAUAAUUAUAUACAUGCAUUGAUUUCAGAAAUAAAGAAAAUAAGUGAGUUUUUUACAGUGGGGUUAGUAUGUUCAUAUAUUAUUUUCUAAACUUUGUUUUUGGGUCCACUCACCCUUAUUGUUGUUUUGCGCCCCCAGGCAGUAGACGUGCACAGGAAUCCACCACCGGGCCACUUCCCAUCUUCCGCGCCUUUCUUCUGAUGUAGGAUUUUUGUUUGUUAAAAGAUUCAAUCCUUUGUAAAUUCUUAGUAAUCGCUCUGAUGUUUUGCCCUAUAUUGAGAUUUGAACUGUUGGAAUGUAUAUAUACAUAUGCUGGCAGUUGGUUGUAUAUAUGUAUACUUGUUUGGCAGGUGAAAAUGUUUUGGUAUUGAGCCAGUUACAAAGGAAACUCUGCCGGUUUUUCGGUAGACGUUAACCUUAUUAUUUUAUCAUGUUUUGUAUAGAAGGGCAAAUAGGUCAUUUGUGCCCAACAUUCGCCAGGUGUCAGACACGCACAGGGUCUGGCUCGAAUUCCAAAGUGGAAUUUGGAUCGGGUCCUGUGAUGGGAGAUUCUCCAAUAAGUAUUUUUUGUUAAGAAUUGGUUACAUACUUCUAAUUUUGAUUGUUGGAUUCCAUUCAUUAAAUGUGCUGGUAGUCUUUUAGAUACAAUCCAACCGAAAUUAGAAAUAUGUAACUAAUCCUUAACUUAAAUACUUAUUGGAGAAUGUAUAUAUAUUGGAAUUUAUUACACCAACUAAUUGCCGAUUUUAUUUUUCACAAUUUUAGUGGGUCAGAAAGGCUAGCUAGCAUAACUGCAUCAUAUACAAUGAUGACAAGCUCCUAGCUAUAAUUUAUUAGGUGCUCACGAUGUUUAGGAAUAUUGAUCAGAAAUCUCUUGGAGGGUUGAGAAGAAUUCCUGCGGUUUGGAGAACAUGAGCAUAUGAUCAGAGCCGUUUAUCAUUUUGACUUCAUGUGGAGGAUUUUCCUUGAUCAUCCACCGUUGCACAUCCUCCCCAAUGGUAAGGUCUUGGUCGCACACGAUAUAUACUCUAGGAACCGACCCAUAUUUCUCCUUGGUGAGUUUUAUUUCCUCAUCAAAGAGAGGGAAAAAUCUCAGCGAUGACAACGCCAGUGCUAAGUCCUGUUGACAUCCAAAUAAAAAAUAAAUAAACAAAUGAAAGAAAAAAGAGGAAACGUUAGGUAGAAGCUUAACCAAUUGGAAAAUUGAACCUAGAUGGAUGUAGACUGGACUCCUCCACAUGCAUAAAAUGGGCAUAAUUACUAUAGCACCAUUAAAUUUAAUAGGGUUGUUUUUAACCAUCAAUGAUUUCUAAAUUUAUACCUGAGUUUCAUUUUGAUUCUCUAAUAGACGAAAAAAUUUAUAUAAUUUGACUAAAUGACAAAAUUGGAACAUGUGGGAGAGGGAGGUCGACAUAAACUAAAAACCGAGUUGGAAUACCAAAAUCAAAUUCGGAUAAAUUUAGGAACCAUUGCAGUAAAUAACUCAUUUUAAAAUUUAGAUUUAGAUUUAUUUUAAUUACUUAAAAUGUGAAUAAUUGACAUUUUCCAAGUUUAUAUAAUAGUAUAGAUAUCUCAAACAAUUUCUCGCAUUUUUUCCUCAAGAUUUACCUCUGGUGGCGACAGCUGGUACAACACUGAAGUCAUACGUUGGGGACCAAAAAUUGCCGAUGUUGGAGGGUUGUUGAGUCCUUUAUCAAAUCUAUAUUGAGAGUCCAUAAAUUCCAAUCUACUACUAACCUGUUACAUAUUAUAAUUAGUAAAUCCAUAUAUUUUCAAGGAUACGUAUAUAGAAAAAAAUAAUCAAUAAAGUUGCUCCUCAUUUUGCACCUGAGUUCGAAUCCCCCUCUUGAUAAUUUAGAUUAAAUUACGAUAGAAUAUCGUUUUAUACAUAACUAUUCUAUACCUCUUCAAAUAUGGUCAAGUAACUGAUAGUAGGGCCAGGCAUCAAAGCGGUGGCAAAUACAGCCGCAGAAAUUUUCUCAGGGAACCGCUCCAUGGCAAUAGAUAUGCCGGCCCCACCCAUGCUAUGGCCCACCAAGAUAACCCUCUCAUCUGGUGGAAGAGACUCCAUGAAUUCAAUCAACGGCUCAACAUAGUCCGCGAAGCAAUGGACUUGAUUUAUCUGUUUUGGGUUGUCUCCAGAUGCUGCUAGGUCCAGAGCUGUAA